GGUUAAGCGACUAAGCGUACACGGUGGAUGCCCUGGCAGUCAGAGGCGAUGAAGGACGUGCUAAUCUGCGAAAAGCGCCGGCGAGGUGAUAUGAACCUUUGACCCGGCGAUGUCCGAA
rnacentral:rRNA from 1 species